rnacentral:rRNA from 1 species
CCUACGGGAGGCAGCAGUGAGGAAUAUUGGUCAAUGGGCUUACGCCUGAACCAGCCAAGUCGCGUGAGGGAAGACUGCCCUAUGGGUUGUAAACCUCUUUUGUCAGGGAGCAACGCCGGCUACGUGUAGCCGGACUGAGAGUACCUUAAGAAAAAGCAUCGGCUAACUCCGUGCCAGCAGCCGCGGUAAUACGGGGGAUGCGAGCGUUAUCCGGAUUUAUCGGGUUUAAAGGGUGCGUAGGCGGAAUGCCAAGUCAGCGGUAAAAUCGCGGGGCUCAACCCCGCUCCGCCGUUGAAACUGGCGGUCUUGAGUGGGCGAGAAGUAUGCGGAAUGCGUGGUGUAGCGGUGAAAUGCAUAGAUAUCACGAAGAACUCCGAUUGCGAAGGCAGCAUACCGGCGCCCAACUGACGCUGAAGCACGAAAGCGUGGGUAUCGAACAGGAUUAGAUACCCCAGUAGUC